AGAGUUUGAUCCUGGCUCAGGAUGAACGCUGGCGGCGUGCCUAACACAUGCAAGUCGAACGAAGCGCCUUACCUGAUUCUUCGGAUGAAGGUCUGGUGACUGAGUGGCGGACGGGUGAGUAACGCGUGGGUAACCUGCCCUGUACAGGGGGAUAACAGUUGGAAACGGCUGCUAAUACCGCAUAAGCGCACGAGAGGACAUCCUCUUGUGUGAAAAACUCCGGUGGUACAGGAUGGGCCCGCGUCUGAUUAGCUGGUUGGCAGGGUAACGGCCUACCAAGGCGACGAUCAGUAGCCGGUCUGAGAGGAUGAACGGCCACAUUGGGACUGAGACACGGCCCAGACUCCUACGGGAGGCAGCAGUGGGGGAUAUUGCACAAUGGGGGAAACCCUGAUGCAGCGACGCCGCGUGGAGGAAGAAGGUUUUCGGAUUGUAAACUCCUGUCGUUAGGGACGAUAAUGACGGUACCUAACAAGAAAGCACCGGCUAACUACGUGCCAGCAGCCGCGGUAAAACGUAGGGUGCAAGCGUUGUCCGGAAUUACUGGGUGUAAAGGGAGCGCAGGCGGGAAGACAAGUUGGAAGUGAAAUCUAUGGGCUCAACCCAUAAACUGCUUUCAAAACUGUUUUUCUUGAGUAGUGCAGAGGUAGGCGGAAUUCCCGGUGUAGCGGUGGAAUGCGUAGAUAUCGGGAGGAACACCAGUGGCGAAGGCGGCCUACGGGGCACCAACUGACGCUGAGGCUCGAAAGUGUGGGUAGCAAACAGGAUUAGAUACCCUGGUAGUCCACACCGUAAACGAUGAUUACUAGGUGGUGGGG
rnacentral:rRNA from 1 species